CAAACACUAAUAAUGCCCAAAAAGACCC
rnacentral:rasiRNA from 1 species